UACGUAGGGUGCAGGCGUUAAUCGGAAUUACUGGGCGUAAAGCGCACGUAGGCGGAUCGAUCAGUCAGGGGUGAAAUCCCAGGGCUCAACCCUGGAACUGCCUUUGAUACUGUCGAUCUGGAGUAUGGAAGAGGUGAGUGGAAUUCCGAGUGUAGAGGUGAAAUUUCGUAGAUAUUCGGAGGAACACCAGUGGCGAAGGCGGCUCACUGGUCCAUUACUGACGCUGAGGUGCGAAAGCGUGGGGAGCAAACAGG
rnacentral:rRNA from 1 species